rnacentral:lncRNA from 1 species
CCCCUCUAACGUCACAGCUUACGAUUAAAAAGAGCGGAGCGGUCGCCUAUAUAUAUGACCACAGAAAUGAGAGUACCAGGCACUACCAGCAACACAUCCGGUCUGGCCCGGUCCAGUUUAGUAUCUGCUGGAAAAAAUAAUUUAUUACUCGCUGCUACUAUCUACCAUCUCUGAGGAGAGGAGAGGAGAGGAGAGGGGAGAGAAAGAGCUAUGGCUUCGACAACAGCACAAUUGCCGAGAAUCAAACUAGGCUCACAAGGUUUGGAAGUUUCAGCUCAAGGACUAGGCUGCAUGGGCAUGUCUUCCAACAACGUUGCUCCGAAACCCGAAUCCGAUAUGAUCAAGCUCAUCCACCACGCCAUAGACACCGGCGUCACCUUUCUCGACACCUCCGAUGUCUAUGGGCCCCACACCAACGAAAUCCUCAUCGGAAAGGUAUUUGAGCUAAUAAUACUCUGACUACAUACAGUCAGUAAUAGUAAGUAGUUCAUUUGUUUGAAUUAUGAAAUUAUGGAAUUGAGGGGAUUAAAAAUUAAUUGCAGGCGUUGAAGGAGAAGGGAGGAUUGAGAGAGAAGGUGCAAUUAGCCACCAAAUUUGGGAUAAUUUGGAAGGAUGGGAAAAUGGAAAUUCGAGGGGAACCGGAUUAUAUUCGUGCCGCUUGCGAGGCUAGCUUGAUCCGGCUGGGUAUCGAGUGUAUUGACCUUUAUUAUGUUCAUCGGAUUGACACCCGCGUCCCUAUUGAAGUCACGGUUUGGCUCUCCAUUUCUCUCUUUAUAUACAACUUUUUCAUAUUUUGUAGGAGUUCAGAUCUUUUAUCUGGUUAUGCCUGUCUCUGUUUCAAGUUAUAAGAUCAUUAUUGAUUUUGAAAGUCAAUUUAAAGCAUUUUUAAACUCAAAACUGGGUUGAUCAAAACUUAUGAAACAAUAAAUCUGAACUACAUGUAGGAUGGCUACAAAUUUCAUAAUUUUAUUAAUUAAAAUUAAAGGAAUUUAUGUUAAUUUUGAGUUUUGAAAUGUGUUAAAUUGACUUUUAAAUGUCAAAAUGAUCUUAUAUUUGGAAUAGAGGUAGUGUUAUAUUAACUUUCUAAAGGGAACAUUGGUUGAGACUAAUUUGAAUUCAUUUUGUAGUUGUUAUUGAAAAUGACUGAACACUAUAUAUAUAUAUUAACUUAUCUGUUGUAAACCAAUGUAAAAAAUCAUUAUGUCAAGGCUAGUACUUUGUACUAUGUCCUUAAGACAAUUAUGCCCUCCGUGCGGUACUUAGAGUUUUCUAACACUUGUCUCUCAGAGACACGUAUACUUUAGCAGCACAACAAAAAAUAUACUUAACGAACCAAAAAAGUGUUCAGAACUCUCUCAAAAUGAACUAUAAACUGCUAAUGAAAUAAAAAAGAAAAAGACUAGAAUGCUUAUGCUUUGCUGAUUUGAAUGAAUGAAAUGGUUGUCCCUUCUUAUCUAUUUAUAAGAGGGUAAGUAACCCAUCAGAAAGGUCACAACCCAUUGGAAAGGCAUGAUUAAGCCAAAAUCGACGUAAUUUUGGCUUUAAACAGAAAAGGAGCAUCCGUUUGAAUCAUAAACUACGUAGUUUUAAGCUUAGCAGAACAAAAACGACGUAGUUUAACGCUUAUCAGAAAAGGGCGCGGGCAAAAACGACGUAGUUUUGGGGCGUCCGUUCAGGCAGAUAGUUUUCCCCCAAACGACGUAGUUUAGACGCGUCCGUUCGGCAGAUACCGCUUUCCAAAACGAUAUAGUAUUGAUAAUAAAUAAUAGUUAUCAAAACGACACAGUUUUGAUAAUAGAACUAAAUUAAAAUAAAUUUUAAAUAAAUUUUGUCAAAAAAAUUAUAUACAAUAACCCAGACCCUCGAGACCCUCGAACCACGAGUCAGGUCGACGACGACGUGGGUUCAAACCAAGCCUUGGCUAUGUUCUCUCCCUUCCACAAAAGUGGGGUGCCCCUUGGGACCCAAAACCCAAUAGCAAUUUCCUUGUAUAUAUACAUAUUAAACGUUUAGUUCUUAACCAAUGUGGGACUUGGCUUCUCACAUGUAUUUAUUAUCAUUUAUCAUUUCCAAGGGUUAUCUUUGGGAGUCAAUAUCUCAUUCAUUACUUGAUGGAUUUGAGCUUCUAAAUACUUAAUUUAAUCUACUUAUGGAGUAGAAGAUAUUGAUAUGUGGAUUCACUUUAAAUAAAUAAUUAAACCCACUUUAAUUUUGGCUCAAAUUCUAAUAGUAGUGUCUAUAAAUUAUAAGUGAUAACCAGGUGAAUAUUUAUAAUUAAAAAUUUUAAAUGAAGAGUUAAAAAAAGAACUUCUUUGUAAUGGUAUAAGAGAAAAUUUUAUAAUUAUUGAAUGACAACUAAUAAUAAAUUAAACUAAAUUUAUUAAUAAUUUAUUCAAAAAAUAAGAACAUGAUGGAAUGUAUAAGCAAUAUUUUAGUAGUUUACCAGUUAAUCGAGGCUAGUUUUAAUAAAUUGGGCUCAAGCCCUCAACAUAAAAUUCCAGUGCAGAAAUCUAAAAUGACAUGAAGUACUGAAACUUGGUUGCCUAUUUUCUGUUAACUGACUGCCUAAUUACCAUAUAUUGGAUACUUAUUUUUAUAGGAAAAUGGAGACAAUCACAGCUGUCUCCAACUACUGUUGGCAGGAAAGGGAGGGGAGGGAGGUAGAACUUGAUUUUUGUUAAAAAAUAAACUUGAACUACAAUGUACUGGUAUUAUUUAAUAAUAUUAAUAAACUUCAAUUGAUCACAAUACAUUCUACCACAUUUCAAACUUAUUGUAAUUCUCUUUAUGACCAACCUUACAGGCUAGGUUCUACCCAGUUGAGUACAGGAAGUCGCUAUUUUAUUUAGGAGAAAGAGAUGUGAUUUAAUGUAUCUGAGGAAAUUCUAAGUUUUCCUAGAUAUAUUUGUGCAGUUGAAUUUUUAGACGGAGAAAGUAGGAACUUUAGGAAUAUAGAAAACUAAAAGUGAAAAAUGGGGAAAUGAUAGAAAGUGAAAGUAGAUUGCGAGUGAAAAACGAGCAGGGACUAUGAGUAGAGUAGCAGAGUCUAAAACAUCUUUGAAAGAAAAUACGGGAUAAUAGAGAAACAAAGAUCGGAUAGACAGGGAAACAAAAUUUGCUACAGAGUUAAACACUAUCUACCUCCUCCAAUUGUAAAUUAUGGGGUUCUGACUAUCACUCAAUGGGAGUUGUAUACCUAUUUGAAUGGUAUUGUGUUUGCACCACUGUAUUGUAAUACCUAUUUUAAGCUUUCCUAAUACUGUUUAUGAUAAACUUUUGCUAGAUGGGAGAACUCAAGAAACUGGUUGAAGAGGGUAAAAUAAAAUAUAUAGGAUUGUCGGAGGCUUCUGCUUCAACAAUUAGAAGGGCUCAUGCCAUUCAUCCGGUAACUGCUGUACAGAUGGAGUGGUCAUUGUGGUCAAGAGAUUUGGAGGAAGAUAUUGUUCCUACUUGCAGGUGCAUAAACGUUUUCAUGUUUUACAAAUAUUUUUGAGAGUAACAAAUGGAUCGAAUGUUUGCUUCUAAUGUUUGUGUUAUUCACCAGAGAACUUGGUAUUGGGAUUGUCCCAUACAGUCCUAUUGGAAGAGGAUUCUUGGCAGCAGGUCCCAAGUUAAUUGAGAACCUGCCCGAGGGUGACUUUCGAAAGGUUUGGGCACAAAACCUGUAUUUUUUUGUUUUGCAGAAUAAGUCCGAUAGUAUUAGUCUUUAUAAUAUAUUCCUUAUCUGAAUAAUUGUCUUUAAAUACUCUCUGUCCCAUAGUAGAACUCUGUGCAGCUUUUCUCCCUCCUCCAUUGUAUGAGCUUAUGAGCGCAUUACUGACCAGAUUAAUCAUUUUCUUCAUAUAUAAUCCCUCCGUUGCAAUAUAUUUGAGCAAUAUUGACUUUUUAAAGUUAAUUCGACACAUUUUCAAAUUCAAAAGUGAUGUGAUUCUUUUAAAUUUUGUAAUUAGUAGUACUAUUUAGAUAAAUUUACUAUAUUUAUAUUGGUAUUGGCAAUAAUUAAAUAAAUUUGUAUCAAUUUUGAAUCUAAAAAUGUCUCAAAUUGACUUCAAAUAGUUAAAAUUACUCUUAUAUUUUGAAAGGGAGGGAGUAUAUUAGACUACUAGUGACUUAAUGUAAUCAGUAUGUAUACCAAGCUUCCUUUCAUUAUAUGUGUUUGACCCUAUCUGACGCAAACACUGCAUUUUCCACUACCAUCUUGGUGAUAUACUACCACACCUUUAACCAUUUGCCCAAGUAUCAAAGAAAACCAGAAUUUAUACCGCUCCCAAAAUCACAACUCCCUCCGUUACUUAAUAUAGGUCGUUUUAGAGUUGUGCACAAGUAUUAAGGAAAUGAUUGUAUAGCAUUAACUAUAAUAUCAAUUGUCUAUAUUGACUUUGUAUUGAAAGAAAAGAUUGUUAUUUAUUGAACAAAAAAUAGUGAGAUAAUCAAAGUUACAUUUAUUACUUGGCUUAAUAUUGGAAACUAAGCAAUUAAUGUUUACUUGAAAUUCUCAAACGACUUAUAUUAAGGAACAAAAAUAUUUCUCUAAAACGACUUGUAUUAAGUAACGGAGGGAGUACUAUUUUGUAGUCUACCUAUAGGACCUUUCUGGUGCUUAAAAAUUAUCCAAUUUGUUCAAAGACCUGCUUGAUGCACUCACACAUAGGUCUAUAAUUUUCCAAAGAGGAAGGACUCUUAUCCCGGGAGAUUCCAAAAAAUAAAACCUCGGAAUAGUGAUAGAUUGAUAGUAUUAUGCCUUGUAUUUGAAAGGGUUGUGGUUUUGGUGCUGAGAUAUGUGUGUAUGUUGUCUUUCACAGCUUAUGCCAAGGUUCAAGCCUGAGAAUCUUGAGCAUAAUAAGCACGUAUUUGAGCGGGUCAGUGAAAUAGCAGCAAGGAAAGGAUGUACUCCAUCACAGCUAGCAUUGGCUUGGGUCCAUCACCAAGGGAACGAUGUAUGCCCGAUACCUGGUACCACAAAGACGGAGAAUUUUAACCAGAAUAUUGGAGCUUUGUCGCUGAAACUAACACCAGAUGAAAUUGCUGAACUUGAAUCCUUUGCGUCGGCUGAUGCUGUAAAGGGAGACAGACACGCGUUCAUGUCAAGUACCUGGAUAAAUUCGGAAACGCCUCCAUUCUCCUCUUGGAAAGCUGAAUAAGGAUAUCUUUUGAUUAUAAGUACAUCUUUUUCUUUAUAAAUGCGAUGAUUGGAAGUAUUAUUAACUUGCUUUUUGCUAGCUUUUGUAUGUGGAAAAAAUUCAAAUCUUGAAUUAAUGCAUUUUACUACCAAAUUGCAAUAAUACAUAAGAUUAAGUUGAAUUAUAAAGUUGACUUAAUAUAUUAAAAUAUAUCAAUGAUGUGGUAGUAUGUUAAUUAUUGAUGUUAUUUGGAUGGCUGAGAAUUUAAAUUAUCGGAUUAAAAAAAUAUAUCCAAAUUAUUAAAAAUUACAUCAUAAUAUAUUUUUAAUAUUUCAUAUAAUAGAUCACACUUUUAUGUGAAAACAAAUUAUAUAAAAAUAUCAUGAAAAUAAAAUUCUCCUAUUAUAUACUCUUACUAAUCUCUUUUUUAUCACACAUUCUUGUUUAGGAGUUAGCACUUAUUAGAAGUGGUUGAAAAUUUUAUUUCAUGAUCAAUAUAUAUUAACAUCCACACAAAAAGAUCAAUUUUCUGCAUGUGUGUUAGCACUAUUAUUAUUUUUUUGACAUGUUAACCCAUAAUUCUGAAUGAGACAGUACAUAAAUUAUAUUUUCCCAAUUUCCAAUCGUGAAUUAUACUUUUGUCAUUUGCACCAGCCUCCCCUCUACGCCCACCUCAGGCCACCCCUAACGUCACCCCUCACCCACACCCACUCCACUCCACUCUCUCCCACCCCACUCUAACGUCACAGCUUACGAUUAAAAAGAUCGGACGCCUAUAUAUAUAUAUAUAUAUUGCCGCAGAAAUGGAGUACCAUCUACCGUCUACUCACUGCUACCAUCUACCGUCUCUGAGGAGAGGAGAGAGAAAUAGCUAUGGCUUCGACAGCAGUACAAGUGCCGAGAAUCAAACUGGGCUCACAAGGUUUGGAAGUUUCAGCUCAAGGACUAGGCUGCAUGGGCAUGUCUUCCAACUACGGAGCUCUGAAACCCGAAUCCGAUAUGAUCAAGCUCAUCAACCACGCCAUAGACACCGGCGUCACCUUUCUCGACACCUCCGAUGUCUAUGGGCCCCACACCAACGAAAUCCUCAUCGGAAAGGUAUUCGAGCUAAUAAUACUCUGACUACGUACAAUCAGUAAUAGUAGUAGUUCAUUUGUUUGAAUUAUGAAAUUAUGGAAUUGAGGAGAUUAAAUUAUUUGCAGGCGUUUAAGGAGAAUGGGGGAUUGAGAGAGAAGGUG